UGCUCCUCUUCCUCCCCCCUUUCCCUUCCUCUUUCUCUUUUUUCCCCCUUCUCUAUUCCCUUCCUCCUCAUUUUUUUCUCACUAUCAUCUCAGGGUUCGUGUGGCCCAGGCCUUCUCAAGGAUGGCCUUGAACUUCUGACCCUCCUGCUUCCGUCUCCUUGAUGCUGAGAUUCCAGGCAUGCAAGUGAUGGAACCCUAGACUUCACAAAUGUUAGGCAAACCCUGUACCAGUGACUGCUCUGCCCAUCUCCUAGAGCAGAACAGCCUAAAGAGGUUAAAGUCUCUUGAAAAGUUAUUCCACAGUAAACUUCAAUAAAUAACUCUGAAAGAAACGACUCUUCAUGAGACACUUUGCAUGCUUUCUGUGGUAGAGAGCAGUGCUGCAGGGGUUUGAGGGACAAUUCCAAAUAAAAAGGAAAAUCUUAUAUUUUGAAGAUUGCAGUUUCUUAAGCAAGAGAUGUAGCUGUCACUUAUCUCUUGUCGCUUUCCCCCUCCUUUUGAAAUGUUUUUAGAAUGUGUAUGGUUUUGAUGGACAUGCCAUUCCUGUGCUGCCAGUUGGUGUGUGAGUUAUCAAGCUGAGUUCAGGUCCCUGCCCAGUUUCUCUGCAGUACUUGAGAUUCAGAUUCGUAGACUCUUUCUUCUCUGUAAUGAAGGCCUCGUCCUCCCAUCUGUGAGAGCAACACUGUGAUGAUAGUUUGUAUGUGCCCUAUCGAGAGGGUAAAAGGGUGUGGGCCUGUUGGAGAGGGUGUGGGCCUGUUGGAGUGGGUGUGGCCCUGUUGGGAUAGGUGUGGCCCUUUUGGAGUAGGUGUGUCAUUGUGGGUGUGGGCUUUAAGACCCUCAUCCUAGCUGCCUGGAAGUCAGUAUUCUGCUAGCAGCCUUCAGAUGAAAAUGUAGAACUCUGGGCUGAUGAGAUGGCUCAGUGGGUAAGAUCACUGACUGCUCUUCCGAAGGUCCUGAGUUCAAAUCCCAGCAACCACAUGGUGGCUCACAACCAUCCGUAACAAGAUCUGAUGCCCUCUUCUGGAGUGUCUAAAGACAGCUACAGUGUACUUACAUAUAAUAAUAAAUAAAUCUUUGGGCUGGAGUGACGAGCAGGGCCUGAGUGAGCAGAGGUCCUGAGUUCAAUUCCCAGCAACCACAUGAAGGCUCACAACCAUCUGUACAGCUACAGUGCACUCAUAUACAUAAAAUAAAUAAAUAAAUCUUUUAGAAAGAAAGAAAGAAAGAAAGAAAGAAAGAAAGAAAGAAAGAAAGAGAG
rnacentral:lncRNA from 1 species